UACGUAGGUGGCGAGCGUUAUCCGGAAUGAUUGGGCGUAAAGGGUGCGCAGGCGGUCCUGCAAGUCUGGAGUGAAACGUAUGAGCUCAACUCAUGCAUGGCUCUGGAAACUGCCCGGCUGGAGUGCGGGAGAGGUAAGCGGAAUUCCUAGUGUAGCGGUGAAAUGCGUAGAUAUUAGGAGGAACACCAGCGGCGAAGGCGGCUUACUGGACCGUGACUGACGUUGAGGCUCGAAAGCGUGGGUAGCAAACAGG
rnacentral:rRNA from 1 species